rnacentral:rRNA from 1 species
GUUAGGAAUAUUGGACAAUGGGCGCAAGCCUGAUCCAGCCAUGCCGCGUGAACGAUGAAGGCCUUCGGGUUGUAAAGUUCUUUAGCCGAUGAUUAUAAUGACUGUAGUCGGAAAAUAAGCCCCGGCUAACUUCGUGCCAGCAGCCGCGGUAAUACGAAGGGGGCGAGCGUUAUUCGGAAUCACUGGGCGUAAAGCGUGCGUAGGCGGUCUCGUAAGUUAGGAGUGAAAGCCCAGGGCUCAACCUUGGAAUUGCUCUUAAAACUGCAAGGCUAGAAUCUCGGAGAGGAUAGCGGAAUUUCCAGGGUAGCAGUGAAAUGCGUAGAUAUUGGAAGGAACACCAGUGGCGUAAGCGGCUAUCUGGACGAGUAUUGACGCUGAGGCACGAAAGCGUGGGGAUCAAACAGGAUUAGAAACCCGUGUAGUCC